GUGGCCUACGGGACGCAGCAGUGGGGAAUAUUGCACAAUGGGGGAAACCCUGAUGCAGCAACGCCGCGUGAGUGAGGAAGUAUGUCGGUAUGUAAAGCUCUAUCAGCAGGGAAUAGAAAAGAAGGUACCUGAAAAAAAAGCCCCGGCUAACUACGUGCCAGCAGCCGCGGUAAUACGUAGGGGGCAAGCGUUAUCCGGAUUUACUGGGUGUAAAGGGAGCGUAGACGGAAAGGCAAGUCAGAAGUGAAAGCCCAAGGCUCAACC
rnacentral:rRNA from 1 species